GUUUGGCAUAAACUGUAAACAUUAUUGGAAAGUGUUUACAUGUUGGCGGCCCUGAGCUUCUGUGGCCACUCUCAGGAACACCUCAGCGCCUCCAGGUCGCCUUACACCGUUAGUGCCUCUUGCCACAUAGAGCAAAGGCACUACAAAUCACUUUGGCAAAGCCCGUUCCUCUGUCGCCAGCAAGAUUGUGCGUACCGCAGUGGAAUACACACUCAACAACAUCAUGAUGGAUCAGAUGUCGAGUCAUCAGCAGUUACGCGUUCUCGUAGAACAGCUGCAGCGAGAAGCUAAUAUAGAUCGCAUGAAAACCUCGGAGGCAAUCAACCAUCUCAAGAGGUACAUCUCGGAACACGAGGCAGAGGACUAUCUUCUGGUCGGCUUCACCUCUCAGAAGGCCAACCCAUUCCGCGAGAAGAGCUCCUGCACCGUCCUGUAAUGUGAAUAUGUGCGUGAACAUCAGAAGGAUGAUUAUUUGUGCCACCCAGCCAGAAACCCCAGGGCCAAUCCUUUCCGAGAGAAGAGCAUCUGCCACAUCCUUUAGGCUUUACCAUCAAUUGUAUUUUUGUAGUUCAAUAUUUGUUAAUAAAUAGAAUGCCUUUAAUAUAUCAAGAAUAAUAUUAUAGAUUUUUUUUUUUAUUUUUUUACAAGGAGACCUAAUCUAUUAACUUAUGUCUUUAUUGUUAAUUUUCUUAACCACAAGGUGAACGUUAUUAUUUUGUCUUGGUUACUUGGUCUGCUCUCAUUUUACUGAUUACAGAGGAAAAUAAGCAUGAAGGUAUGCAAUAUUUUAUUAAAUUUACACAGAGGUAAUUUAACAUUAUUGCCAGUAAUUUUAAGAAAUCCAAUAAAGUAUUUUUUAUUAAAUGUAUAUUAACAAAUACUUCACCUCAGUUCAAACAAUUUUUUUUAUGAAUAAUUUGCUUGGUUAUCAUUUUAGAAGUUUUGUUAUGAGGGUGAAUAUUGAUAUCUGCUAAAGAAAGGGGUGUCACUUCACAAAAGUAAAGAAAUUAAAUUCAUCAUAGGAGAUUAUACUAAGGCAUGUUUAUAUACAGUACAUUUUUUGUGAUGUGUAUCAUUAGCAACAUACGUCUUGUGAAAUAUGUGUGUAAAUAGAUGUGGAAUUGGAAGAGGAUGGGUUUGGGGAAAUGUACAUGUGCAUUUUUUGGUCUAUACCGUCUUUGAUUUGUCUUAAUUCUUGUCUCAUUUUUACACAAUGCCAAGAAAGAAUGAAGAAAGUACUCUUCAAAUUCCAAGGUUAAAAGUUCACUAAAUCAGUAUAAAUGAAUAGAAAUUGUGUAAUGUGCACUUAGCCAAGUGUUAUGAAACCAGUUAGAAUUAGUUUGUGCCGUACAUAUGAUGGUUGUAUAUACAGUACAGUCUUCAUUACUUGCAUGACAAAAUAGUCACUUUAAAAACUAAGGCAUUUCUCAUUUACUUUAUCAUGCAUAUUUUCUAUAUCUGAAAUUGACAUAUUUUUUUCCUCUAACUUGAUGUCAUUUGAUAAAUGUUUGUUGUUACCAUUUUCUUGAAGUAAUAAUAGUAGAUGACACAGAAAUAUGAACUGCAUGAGCUCCUCUUAUAGUAUGGUGCCAAUGACUUCUUAUUAAAGUAACCGAUAUUAUAAUCAGUUGAUUCUCAUUUUUAAUUAUUUCAUAAAAUUUUGAUGCAUUAAAUUUUGUAUUUGGUUAUGGUAUCAGACUUGUAUAACCUACAUUUUUAUCAUAAAUACAAAUUAAAUAGUCACUAAAAUUAUUAAUUAGUGCACUGUAUAUGUUGCCUCUCAGCCUCUUCUAAUAUAUACCUGUACAAUAUAUGUAAAUGGAAGCCAGUUAAGAACACACAGUAUAGGUGAAGUGUGAUCAAUGUACUUGUCAUAUUAGUGCAUUCCCAUAUAUGUUCAUAUAUCAGGUUAUCAUCUAAUGUAAAAUUAAGAGGAAAGAAAUCUUGACUGGUUUUCUUUAGUAAUGCUGUACCUCAUUCACAAUAUUCAAUUUUACAAAUUUCUUAAUUAUCCUUGUAUUUUUCUUAAUUUUUUUAGAAAUUCUAAGGACAGAUUUUUUAAAAUUAAUUAUUUUAAAAGUUAUAUUUUAAGUCAAGUUGAAUUUUUAGUUUAAGCCUAAUUGUGAGUAAUUUGAGGAAAUAACAGGUUUGUGGGCAAAGUAUCUAAAGAGAGUGUGGUCUCAUUAUUUUAUUUUAUUUUAUAUUUAGCUGUAAUAGUAUAUGUCAUAUUUGUUUUCUAAUUGAGAUUAUUGUGGCAUUUGUCUUCCGAGCUGUUGAGAUCCUGCAGGUAAAUAGCAUCAGGAUCUGGCCCAUCAGAUUAAAUUGUAAGUACAGUUUGAACUACAGUACUGUAUUGGCAGUUUAUUUUCUUAGUCCUAUAAUCAAGACUCGCAGGGGUAAACCUAAUCUCGUCUCACAAUUUCAUGAUUGGAAGUGAUUGUUGAUUCUGGCAAAGCUCUGUGUACAGUGACAGGGUGUCAGCUGAUACUUUUAUAAUGCCAGCAUGGGUGAAUUGUAUUUUUAAAAUACUGUAGGCAUGUGGAAUUUGUGACUUAUCUUUGUGUUAUGCAGCCAUGGGUGUUAACAAACUAAUUUCUUGAUACAGUAUUUGAUAACUGUAAAAAUACUAAUAUUGUUUAAAUGAUUAUAACACUUCAUUGGUAGCUCAAAUAUAUAAGGUAGAUGUUAUUGGUCGACUUGAAAUAAUUUAUAAAGAUGGUUUCAGUAUAUGGUAUUUUACUGAAAGCUUUAAUACUGUACACUACAUGUAUUAUUUGGUGACAUUGUUUGGAAUAAUUCCAUUAUCACUUGGCCUUAAAUUAAUAAGGAUAGCUUGAUCCUCAUUCUACUUAAAUAAAUGUACAGUAUUUGAAUUAAGUUCUUCUGUGGAAUAUUAAUUGAUAAAUAUUAAUAAUGAUUAUACAGUCUGUAGUACACUUGCAUGGUAUGUUAUUUAUUACAAAAUAAAAUCCAUAAAAAAGUAUAGUUUCUAGCUUGGGCAAAACACCAGACAAGUUUUAAUAAUGCUGAUAUUGAAAUGUGUAUAAAAGAGAAAUUGUAUUCUGUACUGUAUGUGUGUUAUUGUUUUGUCAAGAUGCUUUCCAUGAGAUUAUUAUAGAACAAGUUUUAAUAUAAUGAGGAAAUGUUGUUUUAGUAUUUAAAACUGGAGCUAUAAGGUUGAAAUGCGGAGCAAAAUUAAGGUUGUAAUGCAGUCCAGAAUUAAGAUUGUAAUGCGGUGCAGACUAUAUUUAUAAGGUUGUAAUGCAGUGCAGAAUUAAGAUUGUAAUGCGGUGCAGACUAUAUAUUUAUAAGGUUGUAAUGCGGUGCAGACUAUAUAUUUAUAAGGUUGUUAUGCAGUGCAGACUAAGGUUAUAAUGCAGUGCAGACUAAGGUUAUAAUGCAGUGCAGACUAAGGUUAUAAUGCAGUGCAGAAUUAAGGUUGUAAUGCAGUGCAGACUAUGGUUGUAAUGCAGUGCAGACUAUGGUUGUAAUGCAGUGCAGACUAAGGUUGUAAUGUGGUACAGACUAGCAUUGGGGUUCAUAUUGCUGUAGUUUUUACUGCAAUAAUACAAUAUAAUUAUGAAGAGAUGAAAUUAGUAGUUAUGAAGUGGCUGAAGUACUGGCACACACUAUUGUACUCUGGGUUUAAAAUAAAGAAUUAUGUUGAA